GCCAGUGUGGUGUAGUGGUUUGAGCAUUGGACUGUGAGUCUGAAGACCUUGGUUUGAAUCCUGGCUCAGUCA